rnacentral:rRNA from 1 species
UACGGGGGGAGCAAGCGUUGUUCGGAUUUACUGGGCGUAAAGGGCGCGUAGGCGGUCAGCACAAGUCAGUUGUGAAAUCUCCGGGCUUAACUCGGAAAGGUCAACUGAUACUGUGCGACUAGAGUGCGGAAGGGGCAACUGGAAUUCUCGGUGUAGCGGUGAAAUGCGUAGAUAUCUGGAGGAAUACCGGUGGCGAAGGCGGCAUCCUGGACCGACAUUGACGCUGAUGAGCGAAAGCUAGGGGAGCAAACGGG